UGAGGAAUAUUGGGCAAUGCCCGCAAGGGUGACCCAGCAACGCCGCGUGGAGGAUGAAUGUCGUAAGAUUGUAAACUCCUGUUAGAGGGGUAGAAUAGUACCGGUUGGACCGGUAUAUGACUGUACCCUCAGAGAAAGCCCCGGCUAACUACGUGCCAGCAGCCGCGGUAAUACGUAGGGGGCAAGCGUUGUCCGGAUUUACUGGGCGUAAAGGGCGCGCAGGCGGGAUAAAAAGUCAGUGGUGAAAUCCUACAGCUUAACUGUAGAACUGCCUUUGAUACUUUUAUUCUUGAGUUCGGGAGAGAGAGACGGAAUUCCAGGUGUAGUGGUGAAAUACGUAGAUAUCUGGAAGAACACCAGUUGCGAAGGCGGUCUCUUGGUCCGACACUGACGCUGAGGCGCGAAAGCGUGGGGAGCAAACA
rnacentral:rRNA from 1 species